UUUUGAACUGGCAGUCUAGAGUGCGUCAGAGGGGGGUGGAAUUCCACGUGUAGCAGUGAAAUGCGUAGAGAUGUGGAGGAACACCAAUGGCGAAGGCAGCCCCCUGGGAUGACACUGACGCUCAUGUACGAAAGCGUGGGUAGCAAACAGGAUUAGAUACCCUGGUAGUCCACGCCCUAAACGAUGUCAACUGGUUGUUGGGGGAGUGAAAUCCCUUAGUAACGAAGCUAACGCGUGAAGUUGACCGCCUGGGGAGUACGGUCGCAAGAUUAAAACUCAAAGGAAUUGACGGGGACCCGCACAAGCGGUGGAUGAUGUGGAUUAAUUCGAUGCAACGCGAAAAACCUUACCUACCCUUGACAUGUCCGGAAUCCUGCAGAGAUGCGGGAGUGCUCGAAAGAGAACCGGAACACAGGUGCUGCAUGGCUGUCGUCAGCUCGUGUCGUGAGAUGUUGGGUUAAGUCCCGCAACGAGCGCAACCCUUAUCAUUAGUUGCUACGCAAGGGCACUCUAAUGAGACUGCCGGUGACAAACCGGAGGAAGGUGGGGAUGACGUCAAGUCCUCAUGGCCCUUAUGGGUAGGGCUUCACACCCCA
rnacentral:rRNA from 1 species